rnacentral:rRNA from 1 species
ACGUACGCUGGCGGCACGCCUAACACAUGCAAGUCGAACGCAGUAGCAAUACUGAGUGGCGAACGGGUGAGUAUAAUGUAGGUAUCUGCCCUUUGGUUUGGAAUAACACGAGGAAACUUGUGCUAAUACCGGAUAAGCCUUCACAGGGAAAGCUUUAGCGCCAAAGGAUGAGCCUGCACUUGAUUAGCUAGUUGGUAAGGUAAUAGCUUACCAAGGCUACGAUCAAUAGCUGAUCUGAGAGGAUGAUCAGCCACAUUGGGACUGAGACACGGCCCAGACUCCUACGGGAGGCAGCAGUGGGGAAUCUUGCACAAUGGGGGAAACCCUGAUGCAGCGAUGCCGCGUGAGUGAAGAAGGCCUUUGGGUUGUAAAGCUCUUUCGUCGGGGAAGAAAAUGACUGUACCCGAAUAAGAAGGUCCGGCUAACUUCGUGCCAGCAGCCGCGGUAAUACGAAGGGACCUAGCGUAGUUCGGAAUUACUGGGCUUAAAGAGCUCGUAGGUGGUUAGAAAAGUUAGUGGUGAAAUCCCAAGGCUUAACCUUGGAACUGCCAUUAAAACUUUUUAACUAGAGUAUGAUAGAGGUAAGCGGAAUUUCUAGUGUAGAGGUGAAAUUCGUAGAUAUUAGAAAGAACACCAAUUGCGAAGGCAGCUUUCUGGAUCAUUACUGACACUGAGGAGCGAAAGCAUGGGUAGCGAAGAGGAUUAGAUACCCUCGUAGUCCAUGCCGUAAACGAUGUGUGCUAGACGUUGGGAAAUUUAUUUUUCAGUGUCGCAGCAAAAGCGUUAAGCACACCGCCUGGGGAGUACGACCGCAAGGUUAAAACUCAAAUGAAUUGACGGGGACCCGCACAAGUAGUGGAGCAUGUGGUUUAAUUCGAAGAUACGCGCAGAACCUUACCAACACUUGACAUGUUCGUCGCGACUCUAAGAGAUUAGAGUUUUCGGUUCGGCCGGACGAAACACAGGUGCUGCAUGGCUGUCGUCAGCUCGUGUCGUGAGAUGUUGGGUUAAGUCCCGCAACGAGCGCAACCCUUACUUUUAGUUGCCACCAUUAAGUUGAGCACUCUAAAAGAACUGCCAGUGAUAAGCUGGAGGAAGGUGGGGAUGACGUCAAGUCCUCAUGGCCCUUACGUGUUGGGCUACACACGUGCUACAAUGGUACCUACAGUGAGAUGCUAAGAUGCGAGUCUAAGCUAAUCCCUAAAAGGUACCUCAGUUCGGAUUGCACUCUGCAACUCGAGUGCAUGAAGCUGGAAUUACUAGUAAUCGUGGAUCAGCGCGCCACGGUGAAUACGUUCCCGGGUCUUGUACACACCGCCCG